CCGCCUUCUAUGGCGAUAUAGACACAAAUGACCGAGUUUGUUUGUUUUAACGAUAUAGUCUAACGCCAUGAGGUCAAGGUGACGGUUCUGCUCUAAUCUGUUUACCCAAGUUAACAGGGCUGCCCUAUCGACUGGGAGAUUUACGUGAAAAAGUCAGCUAUGAGUGCAGGUUUAAGUUUCGCACACAGACCACUAACCCACCGCUUAGAUGCCCGGAUAUUGCCCGACUACCUGGAUGAGAGAGUGGCCGAGAACCCUGACCGAGAGGCGAUCGUCUUCUACACAGGACCAGGAAAGAGGGCAGCACUUUCUUACAGACAGGUACACAGACGGUCUCUUCAGUGUGCGGCAGGUCUCUUAGAACUGGGUCUGGUGCUGGGAGAUCGUGUCGUUAUC
rnacentral:lncRNA from 1 species